AUGCGUGAUUUUUUGGACACAUGGGGGAUUCUUGUAGCAAAAAUGUUUGAUUUUGGGGUCAAAUGGGGGAUUUUUGGAGAGCAAAAGUGUGAUUUUCACGUUAAAUGGGGGAUUUUCCGUGAGAAAAUGUGUGAUUUGGGGGAUAAAGGGGUAUUUUUGAAGAGAAAAGCUGAUUUUGGGGUAAAUGGGGGUUUUCAGAGAAAAGGCGAGAUUUUUGAGUUAAAUGGGGGAUUUUGCAAGAGAAAAUGGGUGAUUUUGGGGUUAAAUGGGGGAUUGUUGAAGAGACAAUGCAUGAUUUUGGGGUUAAGGGGGGAUUUUUAAGAGAAACGCGUAAUUUUUUGGUUUAACAGCUAUUUUGAAGAGAAUAUGGCGUG
rnacentral:lncRNA from 7 species